rnacentral:rRNA from 1 species
AUACGUAGGGGGCUAGCGUUAUCCGGAAUUACUGGGCGUAAAGGGUGCGUAGGUGGUUUCUUAAGUCAGAAGUGAAAGGCUACGGCUCAACCGUAGUAAGCUUUUGAAACUAAGAGACUUGAGUGCAGGAGAGGAGAGUAGAAUUCCUAGUGUAGCGGUGAAAUGCGUAGAUAUUAGGAGGAAUACCAGUUGCGGAGGCGGCUCUCUGGACUGUAACUGACACUGAGGCACGAAAGCGUUGGGAGCAAACAGGGUUAGAUACCCUGUUAGUCCACGCCGUAAACGAUGAGUACUAGCUGUCGGGGGUCACCCCCCUCGGUGGCGCAGCUAACGCAUUAAGUACUCCGCCUGGGAAGUACGCUCGCAAGAGUGAAACUCAAAGGAAUUGACGGGG